UCGAAUUCCUGUAGAGAUCAGGCCAUGAUAUAGAUGAGUAAAGCAGGCCCAGAGAUCUCACCCUCCUCUUUCUUGAAACCAGCAGUAGUCUGCUGUCUUUAGUUUUUCUGUUUUUGAUAGAGACAUGGGUAUGGGAAAAAGGUUCUUCCCUGCGAGGAAAAGCACAGUGCAAUGAACUUGAUAAAAGGCGGUUGACUGUUUCCAUGGUGCUGACCAGCCCCGGCGCUGGAACACUGGGUUCCACACUGCCCUCUGCUGGCCCUCUUCCUCCCAGCCAAGCUUGCCUUUUAGGGGUUUAUUUCCUCAUUCUUCACCAAAUUUUCCAUCAGUUUGCGUGCUUUGAGUUAGAUAAAAUGACUCCACAGACCAGCAUUAUGAAGAUGAGACCUCGUUGAAUUGUAGAAAUGCCACUGAGCCCUGGGAACCUGGAAUCAGGACAGACCAGAGAAAAUAGACAAUGCUCGUCUCAAUUUGGACUCACCAUGUAUCAAGUUGGACUCACCAUGUAUCAAGUUGGACUCGCCAGAGAAAACCCUUCCUGAGGAUGCUGAGAAAUCCUCCGUCUUCGUGGGAGGGCUCACUGGAGCAUAUUCCGGAAAUGGACGAGGGAGGGAGGUCAGCUCAUUUCGGCCGAUGGUAACUCCAGCCUGACUUAAAUCAGUCAGUUCUGCUAAGAAACAGGCUCCGUGAGUGCCCGGAGGUCAAGGUGGUAUAAAAGCCACCUGCCGUGCUCAUGCCCUGGCUGCCGGAUCAGCCCUGUGGCCAUCGGCGGUCCCACACUGCUGGCUGUCUGUCCAGUCACCUUCUGAGGCAGGACAUGAAAGAGCUGCACCUGCAAUCUGUGUGGCUGUCCACGGGCCCUUUCACCACCUCCAUGAAAGCCAGCAUCUUUUGCAAGACACUCAUUUCCCUUUGCAGCCAUUUGCAGUAUUUCAGCACUGUGUUGUCCACUAUUUACAACAGCAGACCAUCCGGGGAAGAAUUCAUGAACAAAGACUUGACUUUAUGUGUUGGGUGGACCCAGCCAGGAGGCUGUGGGAGUGGGGACGCAUUUGUAUUAGUGGUCAGAUUUUUAGUAAAUAUUUAAUCUUAUGAUGACUUUUGCCUUCCUAAGCAGUAUGGCAACAUGAGGAAAUCCCAUGAUCAAUUGGAUAACAGAGAUCUGUUAUGUUAAAUAAAUCUGGUGGACUGAAUUCCAACGACUUCCAACUUAACCCACUAUU
rnacentral:lncRNA from 1 species